rnacentral:rRNA from 1 species
UACGUAGGGGGGCUAGCGUUGUCCGGAUUUAUUGGGCGUAAAGAGCGUGUAGGCGGCCAUGUAGGUCCGGUGUGAAAACUCGAGGCUUAACCUCGAGAUGUCAUCGGAAACCAUUUGGCUAGAGUCCGGAAGAGGAGAGUGGAAUUCCUGGUGUAGCGGUGAAAUGCGCAGAUAUCAGGAGGAACACCUAUUGCGAAGGCAGCUCGCUGGGACGUAACUGACGCUGAGGCGCGAAAGCGUGGGGAGCAAACAGG